UCUAAUGGAGCCUUACAAGCAUGUCAAAAGAUGGUUCUUCAAUGAAAAUGGUGUAAGUGAUCUUUAGAUCUGAGAUCAUCAUGGUUUCUUAUAUAUGUGAAUCUAUACUUUGGUUUAUACCCUAGCAUGACUCUCUGAGAUAUGUAUGGAAUAUUUUAGAUAUGGUGAAGUAUGUGUAUGGAGGUUGUAAAUAGUCAACAA
rnacentral:lncRNA from 1 species